CNUCNCUGAAANAUNUGAGGUCUGGCCUGCUCACUGAGCGAUUUUUAAAGAGCCGCGGUAUUUUGACCGUGCAAAGGUAGCAUAAUCAUUAGUCUCUUAAUUGGUGGCUGGAAUGAAUGGCUUGACGAGAAAUCUACUGUCUCUUAAUAAUUUUUUGAAUUUAACUUUUAAGUCAAAAGGCUUAAAUUUAUCUUUAGGACGAGAAGACCCUAUAGAGCUUAACAUUUUACUUUUAUAUAGUUUUUGGUUAGUCUUUCUGUAUUUAAUUAUAAUGUUUUGUUGGGGUGACAUAAAGAAUAAAUAAACUCUUUAUUAUUAUAUCAUUGAUUUAUGUUUGUUGUUUUGAUCCAUAAUUUAUGAUCAUAAGAUUAAGUUACCUUAGGGAUAACAGCGUAAUUGUUUUCGAGAGCUCAUAUCGACAAAGCAGAUUGCGACCUCGAUGUUGGAUUAAGAAAAAAUUUGGGUGCAGGAGCCCAUUAUUUAGGUCUGUUCGACCUUUAAAUUCUUACGUGAUCUGAGUUUCANCCGGG
rnacentral:rRNA from 1 species